CCCUAUGGGGCGCAGCAGGCAACCACCCAGUUCCUCCAGGAUCUGAUCCGGACACCCAGUCUCUCCCAUCAGGAGGGCGACGUCGCCCAACGGAUCGCUGAGGAGAUGCGCAAGGUGGGCUUCGACGAGGUGCGCAUCGACCGGGUGGGCAACGUCAUCGGCCGGCUGGGUCAGGCCGACGGAAGGCCUGCGCUCUUGUAUGACGGGCAUAUGGACACCGUCGGCAUCGGCGAUCGCUCCGCGUGGAAACGCGACCCGUUUGGAGCCGAGUUCGUCGAUGGCGUGCUCUAUGGGCGGGGGGGC
rnacentral:rRNA from 1 species